rnacentral:rRNA from 1 species
UACGUAGGCAGCGAGCGUUGUUCGGAAUUAUUGGGCGUAAAGAGCUCGUAGGCGGUGUGUCGCGUCGGCCGUGAAAACCUGCAGCUUAACUGUGGGCUUGCGGUCGAUACGGGCAUCACUGGAGUUCGGCAGGGGAGACUGGAAUUCCUGGUGUAGCGGUGAAAUGCGCAGAUAUCAGGAGGAACACCGGUGGCGAAGGCGGGUCUCUGGGCCGAUACUGACGCUGAGGAGCGAAAGCGUGGGGAGCAAACGGG